rnacentral:rRNA from 1 species
AGUCGAACGGUAGCAGGAAGUGCUUGCACUUCGCUGACGAGUGGCGGACGGGUGAGUAAUGCUUGGGAACUUGCCUUUAGGUGGGGGAUAACAGUUGGAAACGACUGCUAAUACCGCAUAAUGUCUACGGACCAAAGGGGGCUUCGGCUCCCGCCUUGAGAGAGGCCCAAGUGAGAUUAGCUAGUUGGUGGGGUAAAGGCCUACCAAGGCAACGAUCUCUAGCUGUUCUGAGAGGAAGAUCAGCCACACUGGGACUGAGACACGGCCCAGACUCCUACGGGAGGCAGCAGUGGGGAAUAUUGCACAAUGGGGGAAACCCUGAUGCAGCCAUGCCGCGUGUGUGAAGAAGGCCUUCGGGUUGUAAAGCACUUUCAGUUGUGAGGAAAGGUUGGUAGUUAAUACCUGCCAGCUGUGACGUUAACAACAGAAGAAGCACCGGCUAACUCCGUGCCAGCAGCCGCGGUAAUACGGAGGGUGCGAGCGUUAAUCGGAAUUACUGGGCGUAAAGCGCACGCAGGCGGCUUGUUAAGCUAGAGGUGAAAGCCCCGCGCUCAACGUGGGAACUGCCUUUAGAACUGGCAGGCUAGAGUCUUGGAGAGGGGAGUGGAAUUCCAGGUGUAGCGGUGAAAUGCGUAGAUAUCUGGAGGAACAUCAGUGGCGAAGGCGGCUCCCUGGCCAAAGACUGACGCUCAUGUGCGAAAGUGUGGGUAGCGAACAGGAUUAGAUACCCUGGUAGUCCACACCGUAAACGCUGUCUACUAGCUGUUUGUGUAUUUAAUACGUGAGUAGCGAAGCUAACGCGCUAAGUAGACCGCCUGGGGAGUACGGCCGCAAGGUUAAAACUCAAAUGAAUUGACGGGGCCCGCACAAGCGGUGGAGCAUGUGGUUUAAUUCGAUGCAACGCG